AGAUUAAGCCAUGCAUGUCUAAGUAUAAACAAAUCUAUACUGUGAAACUGCGAAUGGCUCAUUAAAUCAGUUAUAGUUUAUUUGAUAAUACUUUACUACAUGGAUAACCGUGGUAAUUCUAGAGCUAAUACAUGCAAAAAAACCCGACUUCUGGAAGGGUUGUAUUUAUUAGAUAAAAAACCAAUACGGGGCAACCCGGUUUUUGGUGAGUCAUAAUAACUUUUCGGACCGCAU
rnacentral:rRNA from 1 species